AGUCGCUGGGUGUAGACCCGAAACCAGAUGAUCUAUCCAUGGCCAGGUUGAAGGCAAGGUAACACUUGCUGGAGGACCGAACCCACUAACGUUGAAAAGUUAGGGGAUGAGCUGUGGAUAGGGGUGAAAGGCUAAACAAAUCUGGAAAUAGCUGGUUCUCUCCGAAAACUAUUUAGGUAGUGCCUUAUGUAGAACUGUUGGGGGUAGAGCACUGUUAUAGCUAGGGGGUCAUGGCGACUUACCAAACUAUGGCAAACUCCGAAUACUGACAAGUUAAGCAUGGGAGACAGUGCACCGGGUGCUAACGUCCGGACACAAGAGGGGAAAAACCCAGACCGCCAGCUAAGGUCCCUAAAAUUGGCUAAGUGGGAAACGAAGUGGGAAGGCAUAAACAGUCAGGAGGUUGGCUUAGAAGCAGCCACCCUUUAAAGAAAGCGUAAUAGCUCACUGAUCGAGUCGUCCUGCGCGGAAGAUGUAACGGGGCUAAGCCAGUUACCGAAGCUGCGGGUCUAGUUGUUCUUUUUAAAUGAUUACGGCGCUUAGUGUGAACGAAGUGAACACAAAGCGACUUUACGAAAUGAUUGAUGUAAGGUGGAUGAUCAUUUAAAUAGAGCAACUAGGCGGUAGGAGAGCGUUCUGUAAGCCUGCGAAGGCAGAUUGAGAAGUCUGCUGGAGGUAUCAGAAGUGCGAAUGCUGACAUGAGUAGCGAUAAAGGGGGUGAAAGGCCCCCUCGCCGAAAAUCCAAGGUUUCCUGCGCAACGUUCAUCGGCGCAGGGUGAGUCGGUCCCUAAGGCGAGGCAGAGAUGCGUAGUUGAUGGGAAGCUGGUUAAUAUUCCAGCACCUAAUUCAUGUAUGUGAAGGGGGGACGGAUUGCGAAAUAGCAUCAAGCGGUUGGAAGAGCUUGUUGCUGAUCUUGAGAGGGUAGUUAGGUAAAUCCGGCUACGUGAUUCAAGAGAUUGGCUCGAAGAAGAUUUAUCUUUGAAGUGCUAGGAAGUGGUCCCAAGAAAAGCCUCUAAGUUGAGCAUGAAAUAGACCGUACCGCAAACCGACACAGGUGGAUGGGAUGAGUAUUCUAAGGCGCUUGAGAGAACUCAGGAGAAGGAACUCGGCAAAUUAAUACCGUAACUUCGGGAGAAGGUAUGCCUUGUUAGCGUGUCAAAGCGCGAGAAGGCCGCAGAUAAUAGGUGGCUGCGACUGUUUAAUAAAAACACAGCACUCUGCAAACACGAAAGUGGACGUAUAGGGUGUGACGCCUGCCCGGUGCCGGAAGGUUAAGUGAUGGGGUGCAAGCUCUUGAUCGAAGCCCCGGUAAACGGCGGCCGUAACUAUAACGGUCCUAAGGUAGCGAAAUUCCUUGUCGGGUAAGUUCCGACCUGCACGAAUGGCUGAACCUUUACUGUAGCUUUACAUUGGAUUGUGAACCGGCCUGUGUAGGAUAGGUGGGAGACUAAGAAGCAGUCACGCUAGUGAUUGUGGAGUCGCCCUUGAAAUACCACCCUGGUUUGUUUGCGGUUCUAACCUUGGUCUCUGAAUCGAGAUUGGGGACAGUGUAUGGUGGGCAGUUUGACUGGGGCGGUCUCCUCCUAAAGGGUAACGGAGGAGCUCGAAGGUACGCUAGGUACGGUCGGAAAUCGUACUGAUAGUGCAAUGGCAUAAGCGUGCUUAACUGUGAGACCUACAAGUCGAACAGGUGCGAAAGCAGGACAUAGUGAUCCGGUGGUUCUGAAUGGAAGGGCCAUCGCUCAACGGAUAAAAGGUACUCUGGGGAUAACAGGCUGAUACCGCCCAAGAGUUCAUAUCGACGGCGGUGUUUGGCACCUCGAUGUCGGCUCAUCUCAUCCUGGGGCUG
rnacentral:rRNA from 1 species